GAUUAAGUUAUUAAGGGCGCACGGUGGAUGCCUUGGCACUAGAAGCCGAUGAAGGACGUUACUAACGACGAUAUGCUUUGGGGAGCUGUAAGUAAGCUUUGAUCCAGAGAUUUCCGAAUGGGGAAACCCAGCAUGAGUUAUGUCAUGUUAUCGAUAUGUGAAUACAUAGCAUAUCAGAAGGCACACCCGGAGAACUGAAACAUCUUAGUACCCGGAGGAAGAGAAAGAAAAUUCGAUUCCCUUAGUAGCGGCGAGCGAAACGGGAAGAGCCCAAACCAACAAGCUUGCUUGUUGGGGUUGUAGGACACUCUAUACGGAGUUACAAAGGACGACAUUAGACGAAUCAUCUGGAAAGAUGAAUCAAAGAAGGUAAUAAUCCUGUAGUCGAAAAUGUUGUCUCUCUUGAGUGGAUCCUGAGUACGACGGAGCACGUGAAAUUCCGUCGGAAUCUGGGAGGACCAUCUCCUAAGGCUAAAUACUCUCUAGUGACCGAUAGUGAACCAGUACCGUGAGGGAAAGGUGAAAAGCACCCCGGAAGGGGAGUGAAAUAGAACCUGAAACCGUGUGCUUACAAGUAGUCAGAGCCCGUUAAUGGGUGAUGGCGUGCCUUUUGUAGAAUGAACCGGCGAGUUACGAUUUGAUGCAAGGUUAAGCAGUAAAUGUGGAGCCGUAGCGAAAGCGAGUCUGAAUAGGGCGUUUAGUAUUUGGUCGUAGACCCGAAACCAGGUGAUCUACCCUUGGUCAGGUUGAAGUUCAGGUAACACUGAAUGGAGGACCGAACCGACUUACGUUGAAAAGUGAGCGGAUGAACUGAGGGUAGCGGAGAAAUUCCAAUCGAACCUGGAGAUAGCUGGUUCUCUCCGAAAUAGCUUUAGGGCUAGCCUCAAGUGAUGAUUAUUGGAGGUAGAGCACUGUUUGGACGAGGGGCCCCUCUCGGGUUACCGAAUUCAGACAAACUCCGAAUGCCAAUUAAUUUAACUUGGGAGUCAGAACAUGGGUGAUAAGGUCCGUGUUCGAAAGGGAAACAGCCCAGACCACCAGCUAAGGUCCCAAAAUAUAUGUUAAGUGGAAAAGGAUGUGGCGUUGCCCAGACAACUAGGAUGUUGGCUUAGAAGCAGC
rnacentral:rRNA from 1 species